rnacentral:rRNA from 1 species
AACGAACGCUGGCGGCAUGCCUAACACAUGCAAGUCGAACGAGACCUUCGGGUCUAGUGGCGCACGGGUGCGUAACGCGUGGGAACCUGCCUUUAGGUUCGGAAUAACUCAGAGAAAUUUGAGCUAAUACCGGAUGAUGUCUUCGGACCAAAGAUUUAUCGCCUUUAGAUGGGCCCGCGUGGGAUUAGCUAGUUGGUGGGGUAAAGGCCUACCAAGGCGACGAUCCAUAGCUGGUCUGAGAGGAUGAUCAGCCACACUGGGACUGAGACACGGCCCAGACUCCUACGGGUGGCAGCAGUGGGGAAUAUUGGACAAUGGGCGAAAGCCUGAUCCAGCAAUGCCGCGUGAGUGAUGAAGGCCUUAGGGUUGUAAAGCUCUUUUACCCGAGAUGAUAAUGACAGUAUCGGGAGAAUAAGCUCCGGCUAACUCCGUG